rnacentral:rRNA from 1 species
AUGUAAUUAAAUACUCUGAAGGCACCAAAUCCCAUCUGCUCUUGGAAGUUAAGCAAUGGCAGGCCUGGUUAGUAAUUGAAUGGGAGGCUGCCAAGAAAUACCAACUGGUGUGGCUACAUU